CAUGCAAGUCGAGCGGUAACAGACAUAAAGAUUCAGCUUGCUGAAUCCGGUGCUGACGAGCGGCGAACGGGUGAGUAACGCGUAGGAAUCUACCCAGUAGCGGGGGAUAGCCCGAGGAAACUCGGAUUAAUACCGCAUACGCCCUGAGGGGGAAAGGGGGCAGUUUACUGCUCUCACUAUUGGAUGAGCCUGCGUAAGAUUAGCUUGUUGGUAGGGUAAUGGCCUACCAAGGCGACGAUCUUUAGCUGGUCUGAGAGGACGAUCAGCCACAUUGGGACUGAGACACGGCCCAGACAUCUACGGAUGGCAGCAGUUAAGAAUAUUGGACAAUGGGGGCAACCCUGAUCCAGGUAUACCGCGUGUGUGAAGAAGGCCCUAGGGUUGUAAAGCACUUUAAUCAGAGAAGAAGCAAUUUAAGUUAAUACCUUAUUUUGUUGACGUUACCUGAAGAAUAAGGACCGGCUAACUCCGUGCCAGCAGCCGCGGUAAUACGGAGGGUCCAAGCGUUAAUCGGAAUUACUGGGCGUAAAGCGCGCGUAGGCGGUUUAGCAAGUUGUAUGUGAAAGCCCUGGGCUCAACCUAGGAACUGCAUCCAAAACUACUAAGCUAGAGUACGAGAGAGGAGAGUAGAAUUUCUGGUGUAGCGGUGAAAUGCGUAGAUAUCAGAAGGAAUACCAAUGGCGAAGGCAGCUCUCUGGCUCGUCACUGACGCUGAGGUGCGAAAGCGUGGGUAGCAAACAGGAUUAGAUACCCUGGUAGUCCACGCCGUAAACGAUGACAACUAGCCGUUGGGCAGAUUUAACUGUUCAGUGGCACAGCUAACGCAUUAAGUUGUCCGCC
rnacentral:rRNA from 1 species